rnacentral:tRNA from 1 species
GCCGGCGUAGCUCAAUCGGUAGAGCGGCGCAUUCGUAAUGCGUAGGUUAGCGGUUCAAGUCCGCUCGCCGGCUCCA